rnacentral:rRNA from 1 species
GACGAACGCUAGCGGCGUGCCUAAUACAUGCAAGUUGAGCGCUGAAGGUUGGUACUUGUACCAACUGGAUGAGCAGCGAACGGGUGAGUAACGCGUGGGGAAUCUGCCUUUGAGCGGGGGACAACAUUUGGAAACGAAUGCUAAUACCGCAUAAAAACUUUAAACACAAGUUUUAAGUUUGAAAGAUGCAAUUGCAUCACUCAAAGAUGAUCCCGCGUUGUAUUAGCUAGUUGGUGAGGUAAAGGCUCACCAAGGCGAUGAUACAUAGCCGACCUGAGAGGGUGAUCGGCCACAUUGGGACUGAGACACGGCCCAAACUCCUACGGGAGGCAGCAGUAGGGAAUCUUCGGCAAUGGACGAAAGUCUGACCGAGCAACGCCGCGUGAGUGAAGAAGGUUGUCGGAUCGUAAAACUCGGUUGGUAGAGAAGAACGUUGGUGAGAGUGGAAAGCUCAUCAAGUGACGGUAACUACCCAGAAAGGGACGGCUAACUACGUG